rnacentral:rRNA from 1 species
GAUGAACGCUAGCUACAGGCUUAACACAUGCAAGUCGAGGGGAAACGACAUCGCAAGCUUGCUUUUGAUGGGCGUCGACCGGCGCACGGGUGAGUAACGCGUAUCCAACCUGCCCACCACUUGGGGAUAACCUUGCGAAAGUAAGACUAAUACCCAAUGAUAUCCCACGAAGACAUCUGAAUGGGAUUAAAGAUUUAUCGGUGAUGGAUGGGGAUGCGUCUGAUUAGCUUGUUGGCGGGGUAACGGCCCACCAAGGCAACGAUCAGUAGGGGUUCUGAGAGGAAGGUCCCCCACAUUGGAACUGAGACACGGUCCAAACUCCUACGGGAGGCAGCAGUGAGGAAUAUUGGUCAAUGGGCGAGAGCCUGAACCAGCCAAGUAGCGUGCAGGAAGACGGCCCUAUGGGUUGUAAACUGCUUUUAUAAGGGAAUAAAGUGGGUCACGUGUGACUUUUUGCAUGUACCUUAUGAAUAAGGACCGGCUAAUUCCGUG